rnacentral:lncRNA from 1 species
GGUUCACCCUGCCGCCACCAGGCAGCUGGCAGCGCGACCCAGCCACGCACUGGGAGCGCGCCCUCUCCCCAACUUCUCACCCUCGCCCUGGGUUCCGGGCCCCAGGCCCAGAGAAUAGCAAACAGAAAGAACUUCAAGAUUACAAAUAUCCGUCUCAUUUGAUGCUGAAUUACUCGUGGACAGAUAAGAAAAGGUCUGUUUGGACAUUCAAAGAAGCUACACAUACAAAGAUGGUUUGGCUCGGUGCCGUCAGACACAGCACUUUGAAGAAAAAAAACACAGAAAGAAAGAAAGGAAGGAAAGAAGGAAGGAAGGAAGGACAGAAGGAAGGAAGGAAGGAAAGAAGGAAAGAAGGAAGGAAGGAAGGAAGGAAGGAAGGAAGGAAGGAAGGAAGGAAGGAAGGAAAAAUGUCUGAGCGUUUCCAUGCUCAUCUUUGCCUCAAAUAAAUACUUCCAGGUUUUGCCGUAAUGAUCUGCAGAAGAGAGCUGCCAUCACUUUCUCACAUCCCAAGGUGUUGGCGGAACUCGGAGCGAGGGGAGAGUGCCUGUAAUGCUUAAUUGCCAAGGGGAGGGCGGGGUGCCACUCGGGACCCCGGGCGGGGCUUGGGGAGGUAAGGUGCAACCAAGGAGGUCUUUCUGGACGCUGGACUCUUCAGUUGGAGAAUAUUUGGACAAGGUAUGAUUGCCUCCCACCUCCCACCUCCCACCUCUUUUCCCCAAUGCCUUUGGGGGAGAAGUGAUACCCUUGUGUAACAAUUAGCUCAGACAAUAAAAAUAAUUGGAAAAUCA